rnacentral:misc_RNA from 1 species
AAAUGCGAUAAGUAAUGUGAAUUGCAGAAUUCAGUGAAUCAUCGAAUCUUUGAACGCACAUUGCGCCCGCCAGUAUUCUGGCGGGCAUGCCUGUCCGAGCGUCAUUUCAACCAUCAAGCCCCCGGGCUUGUGUUGGGGACCUGCGGCUGCCCGCAGGCCCUGAAAACCAGUGGCGGGCUCGCUGUCACACCGAGCGUAGUAGCAAUCACCUCGCUCAGGGUGUGCUGCGGGUUCCGGCCGUUAAACAGCCUUACAAAACCCAAGGUUGACCUCGGAUCAGGUAGGAAGACCCGCUGAACUUAAGC